GAAUUUAAAAAUUUAUUAAUAUUUUUAAUUUAUUUAUUUUUAACAAAAGAAAUUUAAUUUUAUUAAAUUAAUUGAAAAAAUAAUUUUUAAUUAUAGUGAAUUAGUAUUGUGAAAGAAAAUUUUUAAAUAUGAAAAAGAAAAAUUUAAUUUUUGUACCUGNNNNGGCAGACUUUAUUUAAUAAGAAUUAAAUAUUUUAAUGUUCUCGAAUUUAAAAGAGUUAAUUAAUUAUAAAUUUUAUUGUAAAAUAAAUAUUUAAAAUAAUUAAUUUGAAAUGAAACGUUAUUCGUUUUUAAAUAUAUCUAGUUUUUUAAGAAAAAAAUUUAAUUUUCUUAUAAAUAUUUAAAUAUUUAAAUUGUUAAUUAUUUAUUAUUUAUAGGUUAUUUUUAAAGGGAUAAGCUUUUAAAAAAAAUAUUAAAACUAAUUUAAAGAUAAAUAAAUUUUAGGAUUAUAAUUUUCUAUUGAUAAAAAAAUGUUAUAAUUAAUUAUUGUAAAAAUAUUAUUUAUAUAUUUUAGUUUAAGUUUUUUAUUAAAAUAUUAUUUUGAAUUAUAAAAAUUAAGAAAUAAUGAUAAAAUUAGUAUAAUAAUUUGUUUAAUAAAAUUUUAAGUUUAAGGUAAGUUUAAGGAACUCGGCAAAUCUAUUUUCCACCUGUUUAUUAAAAACAUGUCUUUUUGAUUAUAAUUUAAAGUCUAAUCUGCCCACUGAAAAUUAUUUGAAUGGCCGCGGUAUUUUGACCGUGCAAAGGUAGCAUAAUAAUUAGUUUUUUAAUUGAAAGCUGGAAUGAAUGAUUGAAUGAGAAAAUAGCUGUCUCAAGCUUAUUUAUAUUAGAAUUUUAUUUUUAAGUUAAAAAGCUUAAAUGAAUUUUAAAGACGAGAAGACCCUAUAGAGUUUUAUAUUUAUUUUUAAUAAAAAUAUUUAGAUUAAAAAUUUUUUAUUAUAAAAUAAGUAUUUUGUUGGGGUGAUAGAAAAAUUAAAUAAACUUUUUUUAUAUAAAAACAUUGAUAAAUGAAUAAAUGAUCCAAAGUUUUUGAUUAUAAGAUAAAAUUACC
rnacentral:rRNA from 1 species